AUGCAUAUGUAUGUGUUGAUAUGUACACAUGAGUUCAGGUACCCACAGAGACCAUGUCAAAUCUCACUGGAACUGCAGUUACAGAUGACUGUGAUACCUGGUAUGAGUAUUGAACCUGAGUCCUCCGGAAGAGCAGGGUGUGCUCCUAAUCACUGGUCCAUCUCUCAGCCAAUGUCAACCUUUCUUUAAGUUGGAUAUCACGAGAAAUGUUACAUAUCAGUCUAACCAUGGCAGUGCCAUAGUCUUAAAUAGCAUCUUUUCACAAGUUCUGUGGGCACUCUUAAUUGUCUUGAGGAAAUUCAGUUGUAGAUUUAUAGGAGGUGAUGACUUUUUUUUUUUUUUUGGUACAGGACAGAGUGUGAGAGAAUUGUUUCAAGAAGGUCUUCAGAUCACAGUAGAGGGGAGGCGACUGACAAGAGCCCUUGAAUUCACAUCAUUUCAGUACACUAUGACAUCAUGACAUUACUUGAGUCUACCACUCCUUGAGACAUGAGAAGGGCCAUUUCAGAUUCACCAAACAGUGGAGCAGAAAGCAGAGAUCACCAUUCACUUAGUCACCACACGCGCAAACACCUUCACUGGCAGGGUCCUCCAUGCAGGUGGUAGCUUUGGCAGCAUCUGCUCUUCCUGGAUACGCUAUUUGUCCCUCAGAGAAAGUCUACAAGGAAACAAAUCUUUUGUCACUGGGGAAGAGCAAAUGCCCCGUUUUUACGUGUGAAGGGAUCAGAAUGAGGAAAACAAUCCCCAUCACAGAGCAAAGACUACAAGCCCAUCCUGGACCCAGAUCAUUAGUGCUUCCAUGGGGGAGAAGAACUGCCGAAAAAAGAGCAUGUUUAGAGAUCUGGCACACAUACCUCUCUUAAGAUGGAUGGUGAAGCAGAAUGAGAGGAAAAGUCCCAUCUGUCACUCAAAAAUCAGGUAAGUGUCACAGCAGUAUACCAGCAUGGUUGUGACAAGAACAUGGAAGCCCCAUAUCACAAAGAAGCUGAAAGCUGGGCUUGGGGGAGGGACACUGAGGAAGCUCUAUGCUAAGUCCAAAGAUAUCCUAAGGAAUUUGAAGCCAUGGGUGUUCUGAAUAUUGUCAUAGCAACAUAGCACCAAACUCAAGUCAGCUAACUAGAGUGACUUACCGACCCUCCCUGUACCCUUCAUUCACAAAACCUUAGUGGGUUAUGAUCCUCAGCCAUCCACAGCAUAAAUACCAUUCACUGUAGUUACUUCUGACCUAUCAAACUUUAAGUUAGACACAAAAUAGGUAAGAAAAUCUGUCUAUGGUUAAGAGACAGAGCAGCCUCAGAACUCAGAUAUGGUUAGAUGUUAGAAACACUAGAAAAGCAAUGAAAAAUCACUAUUAUUGAUUGCUUUGUGAAACUGGGGGAUUAAAAUCAUAUACAGCUAAGGAAUUUCACUAGAAGGAUUCACACUGUAUGGAAAUUUGAACAGAGUUAUUGUGAAGACCACCCUGAAAAGAGGCAUGACUUGGUGGGGUCAUCAGUAGACUUGACAUAGUGAGAGUUUAGUGAACUUUAUAACAGAUUGGUAGGAAAUGAGUGGGAAUGAAACACAAGGUGAAAGAAUAAUGUAAAAGAAAACAGAGAACUUAUAAUGGCUGCUGGGCCACAUUACAUGGUCUAGCAAAUGUGUAAUGGGAAUUAGAAACAGAAGGCAAGAAAGCAGGGGAAGGGGAUGCAUAAGCCAUGCUCAUUUUUAAUGUAACAGAUACACAUAUGAAGAGAGGUGAGAGUGGACAGAUACUUCUCUCAUUUGAAAUUAUAUAAGCUGGAAGCCUCUUUAACAUGCUGGAAGAUAAUAAUCAAAUGAGGAAUUCUUUACUUAGAAGUUGCAGUUUAAAAUCCAAGUGCAAGUAAGAACGUUUUAAAUAAACAAAAAGCAAUUCCUUCCCUGGAUUACAUGAUAUGUUCAAGUAAGUCCUUCAAUAGAAGGCAAUGACACUCCAGGGAAACCUGGGUUUCCAGCAGAUGAAGGACUCUGAAAACAGGAAAAAACAGGUUCAAUAUUAAAAUAGUUUGUAUUCCUUUUAUCCCUGUAAGUGAUAAAUGAUUUGCCUAAAUAAUCACAAGUAGUGGCGGUCUUCUCAGUGUAUAGAACUCAUGAUAUCUAACAUUGGCACAGACAGUGAGACAAAGGGGCUGAGAGGGUGCAGAGUUCAAAUCUCACACCAUCAGUGGAGCCUUAUGUUAACUGAAUAUGAAUUUGAUUAAUUAAAGGAGUAUAUGGUAAGCCUUAGGAAGAAGUUGGCAAAGAAUUUAAAUGGUAGUAAAGCCGGAUGUCUAAAUGACCUUACUCUACACAGUUACUGUUAAUCUGGUUCUCUUUCUUUGAUUUUUAUUUAUAGGCCACUUGUAUUUUUUGUAAGCCAUGUUCAUUUUUAAUGUAACACAUACAUAUGAAUAUUUGUAAAUAUAUUAUGGAAAUUUC
rnacentral:lncRNA from 1 species